AUUAAUGGCAGAAAAACAGAAGUAUUUUGGCUGAAAUGACUCCUCGAUAUUUUUUCUUUUGUAGAUGAUUCCACAGUGAUAUUCUGUGCUAGCUGCUGGCUGGAAACAAUAGAUGCAACAUGGGAGCUUAAAGAAGAGAGAUGCUGGGAAGCCAUCAUACUUUUCCUGGCUGUUCCAUAUCACCUUACUCUGUUUGGAGAGAUGGUGGUCCAUCCCUACUAAGUAAAUUGCUGGCUGACAGGUGGAACCACCUCUGCUAUAAAUUACUGGACUCACAGGCAAGUUGGAUAUCUACCAUGGGAUCAUCCAACACAGAGGAGUUAGUUUGUGUUUACGCUGCUGUACCCAAGCUGGGGGCUGGUUCCCAGAAUUACG
rnacentral:lncRNA from 1 species